CAGCAGCCGCGGUAAUACGAAGGGUGCAAGCGUUACUCGGAAUUACUGGGCGUAAAGCGUGCGUAGGUGGUGGUUUAAGUCCGUUGUGAAAGCCCUGGGCUCAACCUGGGAAUUGCAGUGGAAACUGGGUCACUAGAGUGUGGUAGAGGAUAGUGGAAUUUCCGGUGUAGCAGUGAAAUGCGUAGAGAUCGGAAGGAACAUCUGUGGCGAAGGCGACUAUCUGGGCCAACACUGACACUGAGGCACGAAAGCGUGGGGAGCAAACAGGAUUAGAUACCCCUGUAGUCCCUGUCUCUUAUAC
rnacentral:rRNA from 1 species